UACGAAGGGUGCAAGCGUUACUCGGAAUUACUGGGCGUAAAGCGUGCGUAGGUGGUUCGUUAAGUCCGAUGUGAAAGCCCUGGGCUCAACCUGGGAAUGGCAUUGGAUACUGGCGGGCUAGAGUGCGGUAGAGGGUAGUGUAAUUCCCGGUGUAGCAGUGAAAUGCGUAGAGAUCGGGAGGAACAUCCGUGGCGAAGGCGACUACCUGGACCAGCACUGACACUGAGGCACGAAAGCGUGGGGAGCAAACAGGAUUAGAUACCCUGGUAGUCCACGCCCUAAACGAUGCGAACUGGAUGUUGGGCUCAACUUGGAGCUCAGUAUCGAAGCUAACGCGUUAAGUUCGCCGCCUGGGGAGUACGGUCGCAAGACUGAA
rnacentral:rRNA from 1 species